UCACCACCGAGCCCCCGUCGUGCUUAUGAUUGGCGGCGGCCCGUGGGGAAGACCGGUGGGAGUCCGGGGCUGUCCCGCAACUGUGAGGCUCGUGGUGAGCCGAAGCCAGAUACCCGCGGUGCCGCUGUUCGACGA
rnacentral:ncRNA from 2 species